rnacentral:rRNA from 1 species
UACGGGGGGAGCAAGCGUUGUUCGGAUUUACUGGGCGUAAAGGGCGCGUAGGCGGCCACCGCAAGUCGACUGUGAAAUCUCCGGGCUUAACCCGGAAAGGUCAGCCGAUACUGCGGGGCUAGAGUGCAGAAGGGGCAACUGGAAUUCUCGGUGUAGCGGUGAAAUGCGUAGAGAUCGGGAGGAACACCCGUGGCGAAGGCGGCCAUCUGGACCAGCACUGACGCUGAGGCACGAAAGCGUGGGGAGCAAACAGG